GGUGUUAGCCUUUAGCAUUUCGUUAGCUCUUUCUGAGUUUACACAUGUUGCUCAAUGGGUGUAGGGAGUAGGUUCUUGUUUUGUGGCUAGAUCUCUUGUGAGGUGUUGUUUAAAUAACUUUAGCUGCUUUUUGUGGCCAUGGAAUAAGUUUGCUUAUGAUAACUCUUAGUGUAUUUCCCUUCAUCAGUGAUUAAAAUUGGUUAGUGUCCGUGAGCGGAUUGCCAGCUGUGAUGGAAAAGGAGAGGGAGGUAAUAAAGUGCCAGCACCUGCGGUUAAACUUUUCCCUCUAGUUAAUGAGGUUUUGUGGAAAAGUUUCAGAGUAUGAUAAAAAGGAAUCUCUAUCUAUUUCGGUGAAAUGAGACGAUUAGAUUUGUAUAUGUUUGUUGGAGAGGGUUGGGGGUUUUUAUGCUGUAGACUUAGAAGGCUGUUUUCUAAAAACGGGGAUUAGAUACCCCCUUAUUAAUGCUGUAGUUGAUUCCAUGGGUAUUACGAGUGUUCGCUUAAAAUCCAAGGAGGUUGGCGGUGUCCUAAAUCAGUUGAGGGGAACUUGGCGGUUAAUUCGAUGGUCCUCGAGGACUUUACUCGCUGUUUUCUUAAUAUACCGCCGUUGUCAGCCAUCUUUUUAAUAAAUUAGUUGGUCGCAAGGAAUAUUUGACAUUGUGUUUGGUUGUUUGUCUAUAUGAAUUCAGGUAAACGUGUUGGUUAUCAGCGAGGCUUAGCUGAGUUACAUUUAUGUAGUAAUACGGAUUCUUCAGGUGAAAUGCUUGAGAUGAAGGUGUACUUCACAGUAAUACUUUUUGAUUUGAGGAAGUGUGAACGUAGUUAGUGGGACGUGUACAAAUCGCCCGGCACCCCCGUAUAGAAAAAGUCUGGGUAAGUCGUAACAUAGUAAUGCUACUAGAAAGUGGUUU
rnacentral:ncRNA from 1 species